rnacentral:rRNA from 1 species
AGACCCGAAACCCGGUGAUCUAGCCAUGGGCAGGUUGAAGGUUGGGUAACACUAACUGGAGGACCGAACCGACUAAUGUUGAAAAAUUAGCGGAUGACCUGUGGCUGGGGGUGAAAGGCCAAUCAAACCGGGAGAUAGCUGGUUCUCCCCGAAAGCUAUUUAGGUAGCGCCUCGUGAAUUCAUCUCCGGGGGUAGAGCACUGUUUCGGCUAGGGGGCCAUCCCGGCUUACCAACCCGAUGCAAACUGCGAAUACCGGAGAAUGUUAUCACGGGAGACACACGGCGGGUGCUAACGUCCGUCGUGAAGAGGGAAACAACCCAGACCGCCAGCUAAGGUCCCAAAGUCAUGGUUAAGUGGGAAACGAUGUGGGAAGGCCCAGACAGCCAGGAUGUUGGCUUAGAAGCAGCCAUCAUUUAAAGAAAGCGUAAUAGCUCACUGGUCGAGUCGGCCUGCGCGGAAGAUGUAACGGGGCUAAACCAUGCACCGAAGCUGCGGCAGCGACACUCAGGUGUUGUUGGGUAGGGGAGCGUUCUGUAAGUCUGCGAAGGUGGCCUGUGAGGGUUGCUGGAGGUAUCAGAAGUGCGAAUGCUGACAUAAGUAACGAUAAAGCGGGUGAAAAGCCCGCUCGCCGGAAGACCAAGGGUUCCUGUCCAACGUUAAUCGGGGCAGGGUGAGUCGACCCCUAAGGCGAGGCCGAAAGGCGUAGUCGAUGGGAAACGGGUUAAUAUUCCCGUACUUGGUGUUACUGCGAAGGGGGGACGGAGAAGGCUAUGUUGGCCGGGCGACGGUUGUCCCGGUUUAAGCGUGUAGGUGUGUGUUCCAGGUAAAUCCGGUUCACUUUAACACUGAGGCGUGAUGACGAGGCACUACGGUGCUGAAGCAACAAAUGCCCUGCUUCCAGGAAAAGCCUCUAAGCAUCAGGUAACAUCAAAUCGUACCCCAAACCGACACAGGUGGUCAGGUAGAGAAUACCAAGGCGCUUGAGAGAACUCGGGUGAAGGAACUAGGCAAAAUGGUGCCGUAACUUCGGGAGAAGGCACGCUGACAUGUAGGUGAAGUGAUUUACUCAUGGAGCUGAAGUCAGUCGAAGAUACCAGCUGGCUGCAACUGUUUAUUAAAAACACAGCACUGUGCAAACACGAAAGUGGACGUAUACGGUGUGACGCCUGCCCGGUGCCGGAAGGUUAAUUGAUGGGGUCAGCGCAAGCGAAGCUCCUGAUCGAAGCCCCGGUAAACGGCGGCCGUAACUAUAACGGUCCUAAGGUAGCGAAAUUCCUUGUCGGGUAAGUUCCGACCUGCACGAAUGGCGUAAUGAUGGCCAGGCUGUCUCCACCCGAGACUCAGUGAAAUUGAACUCGCUGUGAAGAUGCAGUGUACCCGCGGCAAGACGGAAAGACCCCGUGAACCUUUACUAUAGCUUGACACUGAACAUUGAGCCUUGAUGUGUAG